rnacentral:rRNA from 1 species
UGGGGAAUAUUGCACAAUGGGCGCAAGCCUGAUGCAGCCAUGCCGCGUGUAUGAAGAAGGCCUUCGGGUUGUAAAGUACUUUCAGCGGGGAGGAAGGCGAUAAGGUUAAUAACCUUGUCGAUUGACGUUACCCGCAGAAGAAGCACCGGCUAACUCCGUGCCAGCAGCCGCGGUAAUACGGAGGGUGCAAGCGUUAAUCGGAAUUACUGGGCGUAAAGCGCACGCAGGCGGUCUGUCAAGUCGGAUGUGAAAUCCCCGGGCUCAACCUGGGAACUGCAUUCGAAACUGGCAGGCUAGAGUCUUGUAGAGGGGGGUAGAAUUCCAGGUGUAGCGGUGAAAUGCGUAGAGAUCUGGAGGAAUACCGGUGGCGAAGGCG